AGAACGAACGCUGGCGGCAUGCCUAAUACAUGCAAGUCGAACGAACUCUUCGGAGUUAGUGGCGCACGGGUGCGUAACGCGUGGGAAUCUGCCCCUUGGUUCGGAAUAACAGUUGGAAACGACUGCUAAUACCGGAUGAUGACGAAAGUCCAAAGAUUUAUCGCCAAGGGAUGAGCCCGCGUAGGAUUAGCUAGUUGGUGAGGUAAAGGCUCACCAAGGCAACGAUCCUUAGCUGGUCUGAGAGGAUGAUCAGCCACACUGGGACUGAGACACGGCCCAGACUCCUACGGGAGGCAGCAGUAGGGAAUAUUGGACAAUGGGCGAAAGCCUGAUCCAGCAAUGCCGCGUGAGUGAUGAAGCUUAGGUUGUAAAGCUCUUUACCGAGAUGAUAAUGACAGUAUCGGAGAAUAAGCCCCGGCUAACUCCGUGCUAGCAGCCGC
rnacentral:rRNA from 1 species